GUCUAUGGCCAUGCUACCUUAAACAAGCCCGAUCCAUCUGAUCUCGUGAAGCUAAGCAGGAUCAGGCCUGGUUAGUAGUUGGAUGGGAGACCACCUGGAAGACCAGGUGCUGUAGGAG
rnacentral:rRNA from 1 species